UGAGCAAUCUGCCCUUCUCAUCGGAAUAAGCGUUGGAAACGACGUCUAAUGCCGAAUACGACCUCCUUUUGCAUGAUCGGAGGUGGAAAGCUCCGGCGGAGAAGGAUGAACUCGCGGCCUAUCAGCUAGUUGGUGUGGUAAUGGCCCACCAAGGCGACGACGGGUAGCCGGCCUGAGAGGGUGACCGGCCACACGUGGGACUGAGACACGGCCCAGACCUCCUACGGGGAGNAGCG
rnacentral:rRNA from 1 species